rnacentral:rRNA from 1 species
CCUACGGGUGACAGCAGUGAGGAAUAUUGGUCAAUGGACGAGAGUCUGAACCAGCCAAGUAGCGUGAAGGAUGACUGUUCUAUGGGUUGUAAACUUUUUUUAUAUGGGAAUAAAAUGUUCCAUGUGAGGGAUAUUGUAUGUACAAUAUGAAUAAGGAUCGGCUAACUCCGUGCCAGCAGCCGCGGUAAUACGGAGGAUCCGAGCGUUAUCCGGAUUUAUUGGGUUUAACGGGUGCGUAGGUGGAUUGUUAAGUCAGUUGUGAAAGUUUGCGGCUCAACCGUAAAAUUGCAGUUGAAACUGGCAUUCUUGAGUACAGUAGAGGUGGGUGGAAUUCGUGGUGUAGGGGUGAAAUGCGUAGAGAUCACGAAGAACUCCGAUUGCGAAGGCAGCUCACUAGACUGCAACUGACACUGAUGCUCGAAAGUGUGGGUAGCAAACAGGAUUAGAUACCCCAGUAGUC